rnacentral:rRNA from 2 species
UAUAAGUUGUUACGAGCACACGGUGGAUGCCUUGGCAUCAGGAGCUGAUGAAGGACGUGGAAAUCUGCGAUAAGCCUCGGGGAGCUGAUAAACGAGCUGUGAUCCGAGGGUCUCCGAAUGGGGUAACCCGGCCGCGUGUCAUGCGUGGUCACUCGUACCUGAAUUCAUAGGGUGCGAGGAGGAACGUGGGGAAGUGAAACAUCUCAGUACCCAUAGGAAGAGAAAACAACAGUGAUUCCGUGAGUAGUGGCGAGCGAAAGCGGAUGGUGGCUAAACCGGUUGUGUGUGAUACCUGGCGAGGGUUGCAUGAUCGGGGUUGUGGGAUGCGUUGUUCCUGGGGUCGCCACCCUGGGCGCUGUGGCGUGGUGGUAGUCGAACUGGUGGUGAGUGCCAGACCGUAGGGGGUGUGAGUCCCGUAGACGAAACUGUCAUUGUCGUGGUGUGACGUUCUCCCGAGUAGCACGGGGCCCGUGAAAUCUCGUGUGAAUCUGCCAGGACCACCUGGUAAGCCUGAAUACUUCCUGAUGACCGAUAGCGGAUCAGUACCGUGAGGGAAUGGUGAAAAGUACCCCGGGAGGGGAGUGAAAUAGUACCUGAAACCGUGUGCUUACAAGCCGUUGGAGCCUUUAGGGGUGACAGCGUGCCUUUUGAAGAAUGAGCCUGCGAGUUAGUGUUACGUCGCGAGAUUAACCCGUGUGGGGUAGUCGUAGCGAAAGCGAGUCUGAAUAGGGCGUUGUGAGUGGCGUGAUCUAGACCCGAAGCGGAGUGAUCUACCCAUGGCCAGGUUGAAGCGCGUGUAAGAGCGCGUGGAGGACCGAACCCACUUCAGUUGAAAAUGGAGGGGAUGAGCUGUGGGUAGGGGUGAAAGGCCAAUCAAACUCCGUGAUAGCUGGUUCUCCCCGAAAUGCAUUUAGGUGCAGCGUUGCGUGUUGCUUGCUGGAGGUAGAGCUACUGGAUGGCUGAUGGGCCCUACAAGGUUACUGACGUCAACCAAACUCCGAAUGCCAGUCAAGUUCUAGCGUGGCAGUGAGACUGUGGGGGAUAAGCUUCAUAGUCGAAAGGGAAACAGCCCAGACCAUCAACUAAGGCCCCUAAGCGUGUGCUAAGUGGGAAAGGAUGUGGAGUUGCUGAGACAACCAGGAGGUUGGCUUAGAAGCAGCCACCCUUGAAAGAGUGCGUAAUAGCUCACUGGUCAAGUGAUUCCGCGCCGAUAAUGUAGCGGGGCUCAAG